AGAGUUUGAUCCUGGCUCAGAGCGAACGCUGGCGGCAGGCUUAACACAUGCAAGUCGAGCGGGCCCUUCGGGGUCAGCGGCAGACGGGUGAGUAACACGUGGGAACGUACCCUUUGGUUCGGAAUAACGCUGGGAAACUAGCGCUAAUACCGGAUACGCCCUUUUGGGGAAAGGCUUGCUGCCGAAGGAUCGGCCCGCGUCUGAUUAGCUAGUUGGUGGGGUAAUGGCCUACCAAGGCGACGAUCAGUAGCUGGUCUGAGAGGAUGAUCAGCCACACUGGGACUGAGACACGGCCCAGACUCCUACGGGAGGCAGCAGUGGGGAAUAUUGGACAAUGGGCGCAAGCCUGAUCCAGCCAUGCCGCGUGAGUGAUGAAGGCCUUAGGGUUGUAAAGCUCUUUUGUCCGGGACGAUAAUGACGGUACCGGAAGAAUAAGCCCCGGCUAACUUCGUGCCAGCAGCCGCGGUAAUACGAAGGGGGCUAGCGUUGCUCGGAAUCACUGGGCGUAAAGGGCGCGUAGGCGGCCAUUCAAGUCGGGGGUGAAAGCCUGUGGCUCAACCACAGAAUUGCCUUCGAUACUGUUUGGCUUGAGUUUGGUAGAGGUUGGUGGAACUGCGAGUGUAGAGGUGAAAUUCGUAGAUAUUCGCAAGAACACCAGUGGCGGAGGCGGCCAACUGGACCAAUACUGACGCUGAGGCGCGAAAGCGUGGGGAGCAAACAGGAUUAGAUACCCUAGUAGUCC
rnacentral:rRNA from 1 species